CGGGGCGUGGCGCAGUCUGGUAGCGCACUAGACUGGGGGUCUAGUGGUCGCCGGUUCAAAUCCGGCCGCCCCGACCA
rnacentral:tRNA from 2 species